GGCCAAUGCACUGUGCGCUUGGAUCCAGUACUGUUGGAUAUAAGUCAGCACCAACAAUUUAAAAUUUCCACCAUUCAUUAAUUAAAUACGAAAUCAGAUGAAAAAAAAGGCUUACACAAAAUUACAUCCCACGAAUUCCAUUUCAAAUUGAAUUGGUAAAAUGAGCGAACAUAAAUUCAAUCAAGUUCAUUUUGUAACGAAAUGUUGAAUAUUGUCUAUAAUACGACUAAAUGACUGCAAUGUGUCCAGUGAGGUACUUUGUCCCUUUGUUGUUUAAAAAUUACAUAUCACUGGGUAGCUCCCAUGUGCCUCUUAUAUCUUAGAUAGUCAAUCACUCUUACCUUCCUGGGAACCAAUCUCUUGCAAGUAAUGUUCUGCUUCCAAGGCUGCCAUGCAACCAGUGCCGGCAGCAGUAACAGCCUGCCUGUACUUCUUGUCCUGGACAUCUCCAGCGGCAAAAACACCACGCACACUGGUCUGGGUGGUGCCUGGUUUGGUCAUAACGUAACCAUCGGAGUCGAGUUGUAGCUGCCCAUUCAAGAACUUGGUAGCAGGCUCAUGCCCAAUGGCAAAGAACAAUCCAGACACCUUCAAAUCAGAUACUUGUCCAGUCGCGACGUUCUUCACCUGCAGCCCACCCAACAGGCGUUCUCCGUUAGCCUCCACCACCAUCGAAUUCCAAAUGACCUCGAUCUUAGGAUUGCUCAAGGCCCUAUUCUGCAUAAUCUUCGAAGCUCUAAAGGCAUCCCUCCUGUGAAUUAUAUAGACUUUGGAUCCAUACUUGGUGAGAAAGUUGGCUUCUUCCAUGGCCGAAUCCCCUCCGCCAAUCACGGCCAGAGGCUUGUCCCUGAAAAUUGGGGCGGCCCCAUCGCAUACCGCACAGGCCGAGAUGCCUCGAUUCCAGAAGGUAUCCGAACCAGGGAAGUUAAGGCGCUUGGCAAUGGCGCCGGUGGCGACGAUGACAGAAUCAGCGAGGACGGCCUUGGAAUCGGUGAACACCUUGAAGGGAUUGGAGGAAAAAUCGACCUUGUUAACGGUUUCGGUGAAGAUCUGGGUACCGAAGCGAAUGGAUUGGGCGCGGCAUCGGUCCAUAAGCUCGCCGCCCUGAAUCCCCUCAGGGAAACCGGGGAAGUUCUCGACCUCGGAGGUGGUAGUAAGCUGGCCACCAGGAGCGAUGUCGUUGGCCAUCCAACCCUCAAAAAGAAUGGGCUUCAGCUCGGCACGGGCAGCGUAGAUGGCAGCAGUGUGAGCGGCAGGGCCGCUGCCAAUGAUGCAGAGACGGGUCUUGAGAUCCUCCAUGGCGUUGGUUGUGGUUAACUUAGGAGCAGAGGAGGAGGAGGCAGUAGACAGAGAAGAGGCAGCGACAGAAGUGGUGGCGAGUCCAAUAAAGCUGCGCGCUCUUUUGAGAAUACUUCUAAGCCUGCUAGGGGUUCGAUUCAUAUUUCCCCCCGCUUCACGUUCUCUUUAUCCUCAGCCUCUUUUUCCUUUUCUACUCACACGCGCUCUGGCGCCAAAACGUGUUUGGUUCCCUCCAAAUCGUACGCGAGAAAAAUGUGAAAUAAUUUCACUCAUUGAAAGGAAGAGCGCAGCAUCACGUAGCCAUUAAC
rnacentral:misc_RNA from 1 species